CACAGACAGAGACCUAGCUUUAAUUUUCCUCCUGAAAAAAACCUUUCUCCUGAUAACUCUGCUUUAGAACAGAGCAAAGGGGCCUAUAUAGUGGAAGAACCCCAAUUAUCUCACACAAUUUUACCAUGCCAAGUGAUCUCACCUCCAAGGAAGGAAGAGGUGCUUUGGAGUAUCAUUUCCUAGAAACACCAGAAGGAGGGGGGCCUGGCUGAAGGCUUCUAACAGCACUAAUACAAAACUACAGAAAUGCUCAGCCUGAGAAUCGGAACCCAAGGGUCAGAAUGCCAAAACGGCAGAGCAGAAGAGCAUGGUAAAAAAAGAACAGACCUUAUGGUCUCAAAGGAAAACACACCACCACACCCUGAGAGAAACAUGUGUAAAAACUAGGGCUGUCAAUUAAUCACUU